AGUGAACGCUGGCGGUAGGCCUAACACAUGCAAGUCGAACGGCAGCACAGUAAGAGCUUGCUCUUACGGGUGGCGAGUGGCGGACGGGUGAGGAAUACAUCGGAAUCUACUUUUUCGUGGGGGAUAACGUAGGGAAACUUACGCUAAUACCGCAUAUGACCUACGGGUGAAAGCAGUGGAUCUUCGGACCUUGCGCGAUUGAAUGAGCCGAUGUCGGAUUAGCUAGUUGGCGGGGUAAAGGCCCACCAAGGCGACGAUCCGUAGCUGGUCUGAGAGGAUGAUCAGCCACACUGGAACUGAGACACGGUCCAGACUCCUACGGGAGGCAGCAGUGGGGAAUAUUGGGCAAUGGGCGCAAGCCUGAUCCAGCCAUACCGCGUGGGUGAAGAAGGCCUUCGGGUUGUAAAGCCCUUUUGUUGGGAAAGAAAAGCAGCAGGUUAAUACCCCGCUGUUCUGACGGUACCCAAAGAAUAAGCACCGGCUAACUUCGUG
rnacentral:rRNA from 1 species